CCUACGGGCGGCUGCAGUGGGGAAUAUUGGACAAUGGGCGAAAGCCUGAUCCAGCCAUGCCGCGUGUGUGAAGAAGGCCUUCGGGUUGUAAAGCACUUUCAGUGGGGAAGAAAGCCUUGGGGCUAAUACCCUCGAGGAAGGACAUCACCCACAGAAGAAGCACCGGCUAACUCCGUGCCAGCAGCCGCGGUAAUACGGAGGGUGCGAGCGUUAAUCGGAAUUACUGGGCGUAAAGCGCGCGUAGGCGGUCUGAUAAGCCGGUUGUGAAAGCCCCGGGCCCAACCUGGGAACGGCAUCCGGAACUGUCAGGCUAGAGUGCAGGAGAGGAAGGUAGAAUUCCCGGUGUAGCGGUGAAAUGCGUAGAGAUCGGGAGGAAUACCAGUGGCGAAGGCGGCCUUCUGGACUGACACUGACGCUGAGGUGCGAAAGCGUGGGUAGCAAACAGGAUUAGAUACCCCGGUAGUC
rnacentral:rRNA from 1 species